GGAAUGACAGCCGCUGUGUUUAGAUGACCAUGUGUGGAAAAUCUUAACCAAAACUUUCAACUUUCAAAAGGAAGAAGCUUCAUGUGGAUCUUAAACUGGAUUUUUAAUUAGGGGACUCCUGUGGAUACAGCUGCCUGCCUUCUCAAUAUCACUCUGAAUCACAUACUGGACAUCUAAGAGCUCACUGAAGGAGCGCAGUCAGACUGAGGAUUUAACAUUUGAUCAGAAAUGUCUACAUCACCUAAGACACAUGGAGCGCUGGAUGAGGUGUCAAUCCCACUAACCACCGUCCCCGGGUCAGGAGACACACAGAAUACUCAGUCAGUCAUCGGCGCUGGACUGCGAGCUGCCUCCUGCUGCUACGACCGGCACCACAGGAAACUUGCCAUCUGCAGCAUCCUCUGUGGGAUCUCCUGCAUCGGAAUCAAGGCUCUGAUAAACUCAGUCCAGGCUGAGAGAGAGACGGAUCCAGAGAGUGCUGUGACGUAUUCAAAAAAGGCAAAAAAGUUUGGCAUCAUCUCCAUCGUGGUUUGGGUU